AACAUUUUCAUUACGAAAUUUACUUUUUUCACUCAAAAGUUCUUAUCCUAUUAUUUAUAUUAUUUUAGUGGUCCGGCCCACUUUGACACUUUGACACCUCUGGUAUAGGAUAUAAAUGUUUUCGCUAUACAUUCAGACAGCAUGUCAACAUGGAGUGAUUUCAGACUCGGCAUUAAGUAUUUUUCUGGUAGCUGUUAGCCUUAGUAAGCUAAUAGCUAACAUUACACAUAUUACAUAUAAUUUUUAUCAAUAGCUAGACAAAUAUGUAACAAUACUAGCAUAUAUAACCUAUCUGACUCUGUACAUAAUGACAUAGCUUAUAGUGUUAGCCACACAUAAGUAAUUUUCUGUUAGCUUGCCUCUGUUAAGCUAACUACCAAUUAGCUUAUGGCUACUGGAAAGGUAACUACGAAGGCUAACUGUUACAUUUAUAUGAUGUGAAUGUAAUUUACAGCCACAUAACAGACCAAGGACAUGUUGAAAAGAACUGUACAUAAUCACACUACAGUUCUUUUUUCUAUUUUGCUUGUGUUUUUUAUGUUUUUAGGGCAUUCAAGGUGAACAGUGACCCUGACACCCUCUGUACUGAGCCUCAUACUGUAAAAUACAGUCUGAUUUUUCCAAGCCACACUUAAACCUCACACUGUUUGCAAGUAAAGAUGUAACACUGAGGUUAAAACUGGCAGGACUCUGUGAUUUUCCUGCAGUUUUAGAGUCUCUAAAUAACAGUGUGCCUUCUGGUGUCCAAAUGGAAACACAGUGCAACUUAAAAGGUGCAGUCGUCCUCUUAGAAUACAAAGUUGCUUCGAUGAACACUGGGUCACAGGACUGAGUGACCAAACGUGCACCUCAUAAUGAACCACUUAAUGAGCCACGGUUUGUAUUCUGAAUAUGUAACUGCAGUAGGUGUGUUUUUUCUGCUUUAACCUUAGAUGUGCUGAUAGUAGACAUGAACAGUGAAUCAGAGCUAUGCAGGUACAGACAGUAUGUUUUUAAUGAGUGGUCCAAAACCUUCAGAAGGACAGGGAACCUCUGGGACACUGGGAGUAUGUUUGCUGCUGUGCACUUUUUGAAAGCUGCCUCUUACACACUGACUGUAAUCCUCAAACAAUUAUGACUGAAUUAAAAACUUAUUUGUCAA